CCUACGGGUGGCAGCAGUGAGGAAUAUUGGUCAAUGGGCGCGAGCCUGAACCAGCCAAGUAGCGUGAAGGAUGACUGCCCUCCGGGUUGUAAACUUCUUUUAUAAAGGAAUAAAGUGAGGCACGUGUGCCUUUUUGUAUGUACUUUAUGAAUAAGGAUCGGCUAACUCCGUGCCAGCAGCCGCGGUAAUACGGAGGAUACGAGCGUUAUCCGGAUUUAUUGGGCUUAAGGGGAGCGUAGAUGGGGUGUUAAGUCAGUUGUGAAAGUUUGCGGCUCAACCGUAAAAUUGCAAUUGAUACUGGCAGUCUAGAGUACAGUUGAGGUAGGCAGAAUUCGUGGUGUAGCGGUGAAAUGCUUAGAGAUGACGAAGAACUCCGAUUGCGAAGGCAGCUUACUAAACUGCCACUGACAUUGAUGCGCGAAAGUGUGGGUAGCAAACAGGAUUAGAUACCCCGGUAGUC
rnacentral:rRNA from 1 species